AUUAUGUGGUAGGAACCAUCAUGGGCACUAUGGAGAGAAGGUUGAAUAAGAACAGCUAUGAGCAUAUGCACCUUGAUGCUUACUGGUGGGACAUUUAGAGAGGAAGCCAGGGUAAACAUCAGGCACAAAAACAGCUCCCUGAAGUCUGCAGAACUUUCUACAAAGGAGCAUAGCUGUGACAAGGAUGAGAAAGAGCUGGUGGUGUGGUUGUUAUGGUUUGAAUACGGAAUAUUCCCUAUAGGCUCAGAUAUUUGAAUAUGGGGUCCCCAAUUGGUGUUGCUAUUUUGGGAGAUGGUAGAAUCUUUUGGACAUAGGAUCUAGCUGGCCAGAUGUAGGCUACUAGGGGAGAGUAUAAAUUGGCCCUGACCCGUUGAAAUAUGAACAAAUUGUAUCAUAAGAUGAACUGUCCAAAACAAACCUUCCUAGCCAUCACAGUUGACUGUGUUCCCUCCAAGUGUGAGCCAAAAUGAACCUUUCCUUUUUUAAGUUGCUUCUGUGUGGAUUUGUAAAGAUACUCAGGGAGGAAGGGAAGAGAGACAUGAACUCUAGGUAGACCUGAAAGAAUCCAGUCCUAUAAUGGUGGUAGGCUUUGAGGAGACUGAGACAUAUUUAGGCUUCUCUGGGGAUCCACUAGGGAUUGUCAGGAUCCCGACUGAUGAAGGCCUCUCAGGUUAGACGAGGCCUUGUGUAGACAUUUUCUCAUUUAUGGAGUUUUAUUGCCUUCCCAUAUCUCCAGAUCCUUGACUGCUGGGUGGAAUGUCCUGGAUGGGUCUAGCUUCUAGAUCAGGCUCUGUUCCAUUUUUUUUUUUUUUUUUUUUUUUUUUUAAGGAAAAACGGCUAUAGGCAGGCCUGGCAUGGCCAUCAUGUGGCCCUGUGGUAGAGCCAGAAGAGGUCCCCAGCAGACUGGAAGUUUCUGAGGUCUUGGAGGUGUCUGGGAAACAAGAUAACUAUCUAGGAAUUGGACUCUAGAGAUAUGGCAAAGAGAUCCUGCAGCCUGCAUCUCUGAAUGUCAGGAAAGAAGAGCUGUGAUCAUUUUGCUGACUGGACAAGAGCUGGAGGGUCUCCACUGAAGAUGGCGCUCUUUGCUUUUCUCCAUGUCACACUGUCUUUGGUACUUUGUGAGUGUCUUCCCAGCAUGGUGCUGGUUUCCCUUCCAGUGAGCUGUCCAAAAGAGACCAAGGAAGACACCUCGUGCUCUUGUUAUAUGGCCCUGGGAAUCCUGCAUUUCCGGAACAUUCUGUCACUCAUACAGGUCAGCCAUGCUCAAUGUGGCAGAAACUAUACAAAAGGGUGAGUCACGGAGACAAGCAUGGCUCAGGACAUCUCAGAGAAUAGCUACCAGUGUCACUGUGCAUCUUACAACACUAUAGCUACUUCCUAGGGCUCCACCUAAGAAUUAAGGGGAGUGGCACCACUGCCCAGCCUGUUUAUUCUGAUUAUAAAAUAAUGUAUGUGUUCAUAUGAUAAAAUUAGAAAAAUUAAGAACCAGUUAUCAUCCAUAAUAAGAAUACUAACAAAAAUAUUUGGUGUUAUAGAAACACCAUUCGGAGAAAUAUAAUAGCCUACCAAGAUGACAAUUUUCUUAAAAGAAGAAUCAUAUGAGUACAUGAGCAACAUCACUUUCACGUAUGGCAAGUACUUAUGUAUAGCUAUGUAUAUAUUUUAUAUUUAUAAAGUAACUAUAUUUAAUUAAAAUAUGUAUAUGUAUUAAACCAGACUCACCCAGACACUCCCCUUAAUUCUAAC
rnacentral:lncRNA from 1 species